UGCGGUUGCGAUAAACGCUGAAGGCAUCUAAGCGUGAAACGUGCUUCAAGAUGAGAUAUCCCAUCAUUUCAAAUGAGUAAGGUUGCUCGUAGACUACGAGCUUGAUAGGUCGGAGGUGUAAGUACAGUAAUGUAUUCAGCUAACCGAUACUAAUUUCCGAGGGCUUGAACCU
rnacentral:rRNA from 1 species